UUAAGCGACUAAGCGUACACGGUGGAUGCCCUGGCAGUCAGAGGCGAUGAAGGACGUGCUAAUCUGCGAUAAGCGUCGGUAAGGUGAUAUGAACCGUUAUAACCGGCGAUUUCCGAAUGGGGAAACCCAGUGUGUUUCGACACACUAUCAUUAACUGAAUCCAUAGGUUAAUGAGGCGAACCGGGGGAACUGAAACAUCUAAGUACCCCGAGGAAAAGAAAUCAACCGAGAUUCCCCCAGUAGCGGCGAGCGAACGGGGAGCAGCCCAGAGCCUGAAUCAGUGUGUGUGUUAGUGGAAGCGUCUGGAAAGGCGCGCGAUACAGGGUGACAGCCCCGUACACAAAAAUGCACAUACUGUGAGCUCGAUGAGUAGGGCGGGACACGUGGUAUCCUGUCUGAAUAUGGGGGGACCAUCCUCCAAGGCUAAAUACUCCUGACUGACCGAUAGUGAACCAGUACCGUGAGGGAAAGGCGAAAAGAACCCCGGCGAGGGGAGUGAAAAAGAACCUGAAACCGUGUACGUACAAGCAGUGGGAGCACGCUUAGGCGUGUGACUGCGUACCUUUUGUAUAAUGGGUCAGCGACUUAUAUUCUGUAGCAAGGUUAACCGAAUAGGGGAGCCGAAGGGAAACCGAGUCUUAACUGGGCGUUAAGUUGCAGGGUAUAGACCCGAAACCCGGUGAUCUAGCCAUGGGCAGGUUGAAGGUUGGGUAACACUAACUGGAGGACCGAACCGACUAAUGUUGAAAAAUUAGCGGAUGACUUGUGGCUGGGGGUGAAAGGCCAAUCAAACCGGGAGAUAGCUGGUUCUCCCCGAAAGCUAUUUAGGUAGCGCCUCGUGAAUUCAUCUCCGGGGGUAGAGCACUGUUUCGGCAAGGGGGUCAUCCCGACUUACCAACCCGAUGCAAACUGCGAAUACCGGAGAAUGUUAUCACGGGAGACACACGGCGGGUGCUAACGUCCGUCGUGAAGAGGGAAACAACCCAGACCGCCAGCUAAGGUCCCAAAGUCAUGGUUAAGUGGGAAACGAUGUGGGAAGGCCCAGACAGCCAGGAUGUUGGCUUAGAAGCAGCCAUCAUUUAAAGAAAGCGUAAUAGCUCACUGGUCGAGUCGGCCUGCGCGGAAGAUGUAACGGGGCUAAACCAUGCACCGAAGCUGCGGCAGCGACGCUGAUGCGUUGUUGGGUAGGGGAGCGUUCUGUAAGCCUGCGAAGGUGUGCUGUGAGGCAUGCUGGAGGUAUCAGAAGUGCGAAUGCUGACAUAAGUAACGAUAAAGCGGGUGAAAAGCCCGCUCGCCGGAAGACCAAGGGUUCCUGUCCAACGUUAAUCGGGGCAGGGUGAGUCGACCCCUAAGGCGAGGCCGAAAGGCGUAGUCGAUGGGAAACAGGUUAAUAUUCCUGUACUUGGUGUUACUGCGAAGGGGGGACGGAGAAGGCUAUGUUGGCCGGGCGACGGUUGUCCCGGUUUAAGCGUGUAGGCUGGUUUUCCAGGCAAAUCCGGAAAAUCAAGGCUGAGGCGUGAUGACGAGGCACUACGGUGCUGAAGCAACAAAUGCCCUGCUUCCAGGAAAAGCCUCUAAGCAUCAGGUAACAUCAAAUCGUACCCCAAACCGACACAGGUGGUCAGGUAGAGAAUACCAAGGCGCUUGAGAGAACUCGGGUGAAGGAACUAGGCAAAAUGGUGCCGUAACUUCGGGAGAAGGCACGCUGAUAUGUAGGUGAAGCGACUUGCUCGUGGAGCUGAAAUCAGUCGAAGAUACCAGCUGGCUGCAACUGUUUAUUAAAAACACAGCACUGUGCAAACACGAAAGUGGACGUAUACGGUGUGACGCCUGCCCGGUGCCGGAAGGUUAAUUGAUGGGGUCAGCGCAAGCGAAGCUCUUGAUCGAAGCCCCGGUAAACGGCGGCCGUAACUAUAACGGUCCUAAGGUAGCGAAAUUCCUUGUCGGGUAAGUUCCGACCUGCACGAAUGGCGUAAUGAUGGCCAGGCUGUCUCCACCCGAGACUCAGUGAAAUUGAACUCGCUGUGAAGAUGCAGUGUACCCGCGGCAAGACGGAAAGACCCCGUGAACCUUUACUAUAGCUUGACACUGAACAUUGAGCCUUGAUGUGUAGGAUAGGUGGGAGGCUUUGAAGUGUGGACGCCAGUCUGCAUGGAGCCGACCUUGAAAUACCACCCUUUAAUGUUUGAUGUUCUAACGUUGACCCGUGAUCCGGGUUGCGGACAGUGUCUGGUGGGUAGUUUGACUGGGGCGGUCUCCUCCUAAAGAGUAACGGAGGAGCACGAAGGUUGGCUAAUCCUGGUCGGACAUCAGGAGGUUAGUGCAAUGGCAUAAGCCAGCUUGACUGCGAGCGUGACGGCGCGAGCAGGUGCGAAAGCAGGUCAUAGUGAUCCGGUGGUUCUGAAUGGAAGGGCCAUCGCUCAACGGAUAAAAGGUACUCCGGGGAUAACAGGCUGAUACCGCCCAAGAGUUCAUAUCGACGGCGGUGUUUGGCACCUCGAUGUCGGCUCAUCACAUCCUGGGGCUGAAGUAGGUCCCAAGGGUAUGGCUGUUCGCCAUUUAAAGUGGUACGCGAGCUGGGUUUAGAACGUCGUGAGACAGUUCGGUCCCUAUCUGCCGUGGGCGCUGGAGAACUGAGGGGGGCUGCUCCUAGUACGAGAGGACCGGAGUGGACGCAUCACUGGUGUUCGGGUUGUCAUGCCAAUGGCACUGCCCGGUAGCUAAAUGCGGAAGAGAUAAGUGCUGAAAGCAUCUAAGCACGAAACUUGCCCCGAGAUGAGUUCUCCCUGACUCCUUGAGAGUCCUGAAGGAACGUUGAAGACGACGACGUUGAUAGGCCGGGUGUGUAAGCGCAGCGAUGCGUUGAGCUAACCGGUACUAAUGAACCGUGAGGCUUAACCU
rnacentral:rRNA from 1 species